rnacentral:rRNA from 1 species
GUGAGGAAUAUUGGUCAAUGGGCGAGAGCCUGAACCAGCCAAGUCGCGUGAAGGAAGAAGGAUCUAUGGUUCGUAAACUUCUUUUGCAGGGGAAUAAAGUGCAGGACGUGUCCUGUUUUGUAUGUACCCUGAGAAUAAGGAUCGGCUAACUCCGUGCCAGCAGCCGCGGUAAUACGGAGGAUCCGAGCGUUAUCCGGAUUUAUUGGGUUUAAAGGGUGCGUAGGUGGUUUGAUAAGUCAGCGGUGAAAGUUUGCAGCUUAACUGUAAAAAUGCCGUUGAGACUGUCGGACUUGAGUGUAAAUGAGGUAGGCGGAAUGCGUGGUGUAGCGGUGAAAUGCAUAGAUAUCACGCAGAACUCCGAUUGCGAAGGCAGCUUACUAAGCUACAACUGACACUGAAGCACGAAAGCGUGGGGAUCAAACAGGAUUAGAUACCCGGGUAGUCC